rnacentral:rRNA from 1 species
AUUGAACGCUGGCGGCAGGCUUAACACAUGCAAGUCGAGCGAGCGGCGGACGGGUGCGUAAUGUCUGGGAAACUGCCUGAUGGAGGGGGAUAACUACUGGAAACGGUAGCUAAUACCGCAUACCAUCAGCUUUGCCCAGAUGGGAUUAGCUAGUAGGUGGGGUAAUGGCUCACCUAGGCGACGAUCCCUAGCUGGUCUGAGAGGAUGACCAGCAACACUGGAACUGAGACACGGUCCAGACUCCGACGGGAGGCAGCAGUGGGGAAUAUUGGACAAUGGGCGAAAGCCUGAUGCAGACAGGCGGCGUGUGUGAAGAAGGCCUUCGGGUUGUAAAGCACUUUCAGCGAGGAGGCGUUACUCGAAGAAGAAGCACCGGCUAACUCCGUGCCAGCAGCCGCGGUAAUUG